AUACGGAGGGUGCAAACGUUGUUCGGAAUUACUGGGCGUAAAGCGCGCGUAGGCGGUUUGUUAAGUCAGAUGUGAAAGCCCAAGGCUCAACCUUGGACGUGCAUUUGAAACUGGCAGACUUGAGUACUGGAGGGGAUGGUGGAAUUCCCGGUGUAGAGGUGAAAUUCGUAGAUAUCCGGAGGAAUACCGGUGGCGAAGGCGACCAUCUGGCCAGAUACUGGCGCUCAGGUGUGAAAGCAUGGGGAGCAAACAGGAUUAGAUACCCUAGUAGUCC
rnacentral:rRNA from 1 species